rnacentral:rRNA from 1 species
AUUGAACGCUGGCGGCAUGCUUUACACAUGCAAGUCGAACGGCAGCGCGGGCUUCGGCCUGGCGGCGAGUGGCGAACGGGUGAGUAAUACAUCGGAACGUGCCCAGUAGUGGGGGAUAGCUCGGCGAAAGCCGGAUUAAUACCGCAUACGACCUGAGGGUGAAAGCGGGGGAUCUUCGGACCUCGCGCUAUUGGAGCGGCCGAUGGCAGAUUAGCUAGUUGGUGGGGUAAAGGCCAACCAAGGCGACGAUCUGUAGCUGGUCUGAGAGGACGACCAGCCACACUGGGACUGAGACACGGCCCAGACUCCUACGGGAGGCAGCAGUGGGGAAUUUUGGACAAUGGGCGAAAGCCUGAUCCAGCAAUGCCGCGUGUGUGAUGAAGGCCUUCGGGUUGUAAAGCACUUUUGGCGGGAACGAAAAGGACUGUGCCAAUACCACGGUUCGAUGACGGUACCCGCAGAAUAAGCACCGGCUAACUACGUG